GGGUGCGAUCAUACCAGCACUAAUGCACCGGAUCCCAUCAGAACUCCGAAGUUAAGCGUGGUUGGGCGAGCACGAGAGUAGUACUAGGAUGGGUGACCCCCUGGGAAGUCCUCGUGUGCACCCC
rnacentral:rRNA from 1 species